rnacentral:rRNA from 1 species
AUUGAACGCUGGCGGCAGGCCUAACACAUGCAAGUCGAGCGGAUGAAGGGAGCUUGCUCCUGGAUUCAGCGGCGGACGGGUGAGUAAUGCCUAGGAAUCUGCCUGGUAGUGGGGGAUAACGUCCGGAAACGGGCGCUAAUACCGCAUACGUCCUGAGGGAGAAAGUGGGGGAUCUUCGGACCUCACGCUAUCAGAUGGGCCUAGGUCGAAUUAGCUAGUUGGUGGGGUAAAGGCCUACCAAGGCGACGAUCCGUAACUGGUCUGAGAGGAUGAUCAGUCACACUGGAACUGAGACACGGUCCAGACUCCUACGGGAGGCAGCAGUGGGGAAUAUUGGACAAUGGGCGAAAGCCUGAUCCAGCCAUGCCGCGUGUGUGAAGAAGGUCUUCGGAUUGUAAAGCACUUUAAGUUGGGAGGAAGGGCAGUAGGUUAAUACCUUGCUGUUUUGACGUUACCAACAGAAUAAGCACCGGCUAACUUCGUG